UAAGACGAACCUUGCAAACGUUAUUCGGAAUUACUGGGCUUAAAGGGUGCGUAGGCUGUGCAGAAAGUUGGGUGUGAAAUCCCUCGGCUCAACCGAGGAAUAGCAUUCAAAACUACUGUGCUAGAGGAAUACAGAGGUAAGCGGAACUUCGGGUGGAGCGGUGAAAUGCGUUGAUAUCCGAAGGAACACCGGUGGCGAAAGCGGCUUACUGGGUAUUUUCUGACGCUGAUGCACGAAAGCUAGGGGAGCGAACGGGAUUAGAUACCCCGGUAGUCCUAGCCGUAAACGAUGAGCACUGGGUUGGAGGGUCCUCCAUAGCCUUCCAGCCGCAGCGAAAGUGUUAAGUGCUCCGCCUGGGGAGUAUGGUCGCAAGGCUG
rnacentral:rRNA from 1 species